rfam:Oryza sativa Japonica Group DNA, chromosome 10, cultivar: Nipponbare, complete sequence.
ACUCUCUUCGUGUCCAAUGUUUGACCAUAUGUCUUAUUUGAAUUUUUUUUAUGAUUAGUAUUAUUGUUAUUAUUAGAUGAUAAAAUAUGAAUAGUAUUUUAUGUGUGAUUUAUUUUUUUUAAUUCUUUUUAUAUAUUUUUUUAAAUAAGCCGGACGGUCAAACGUUAAACAUGAAAACCCACAACUGUAUUUGAA